rnacentral:tRNA from 1 species
UUAGUGGGAGCUGUAAUAGCGCUUCCUUGUUAAGGAAGAGAAUGGAAUUGGUAGUCCCCAUU